AGGGGAUUAGUUUACAAGGUUAAAACCUCGGUCUUUGAAAUAGAAGAAGUUGGUUCAAUUCCAACAUCCCCCG
rnacentral:tRNA from 1 species